rnacentral:rRNA from 1 species
UACGAAGGGGGCUAGCGUUGCUCGGAAUCACUGGGCGUAAAGCGCACGUAGGCGGCUUUCUAAGUCAGGGGUGAAAUCCUGGAGCUCAACUCCAGAACUGCCUUUGAUACUGGAGAGCUUGAGUCCGGAAGAAGUGAGUGGAACUCCGAGUGUAGAGGUGAAAUUCGUAGAUAUUCGGAAGAACACCAGUGGCGAAGGCGGCUCACCUGGUCCGGUACUGACGCUGAGGUGCGAAAGCGUGGGAGCAACAGGG